rnacentral:rRNA from 1 species
UCUACGGUGGGCAGCAGUGAGGAAUAUUGGUCAAUGGGAGAGAUCCUGAACCAGCCAAGCCGCGUGAGGGAAGCCGGCCCUAUGGGUUGUAAACCUCUUUUGUCGGAGAACAAAACCCGGGACGUGUCCCGGACUGCGUGUAUCCGAAGAAAAAGCAUCGGCUAACUCCGUGCCAACAGCCGCGGUAAUACGGGGGAUGCGAGAGUUAUCCGGAUUUUUUGGGUUUAAAGGGUGCGUAGGCGGUCCGUUAAGUCAGCGGUAAAAUUGCGGGGCUUAACCCCGUCGAGCCGUUGACACUGGCAGACGUGAGUUGGCUAGAAGUAUGCGGAAUGCGCGGUGUAGCGGUGAAAUGCAUAGAUAUCGCGCAGAACUCCGAUUGCGAAGGCAGCGUACCGGCGCCAGACUGACGCUGAGGCACGAAAGCGUGGGGAUCGAACAGGAUUAGAUACCCGUGUAGUC